rnacentral:rRNA from 1 species
UCGAGAAUCUUCGGCAAUGAGCGCAAGCUUGACCGAGCGAUGCCGCGUGCGGGAUGAAGGCCCUCGGGUUGUAAACCGCUGUCGUAGGGGAGUAACGGUCGAUGGGUUCUCCCAUCGAUUUGAACAAUCCUAGGAGGAAGGACGGGCUAAGUUCGUGCCAGCAGCCGCGGUAAGACGAACCGUCCAAACGUUAUUCGGAAUCACUGGGCUUACAGAGUUCGUAGGCGGUCUGGAAAGUUGGGUGUGAAAUCCCUCGGCUCAACCGAGGAACUGCGCUCAAAACUACCCGACUCGAGGGAGAUAGAGGAAAGCGGAACUGAUGGUGGAGCGGUGAAAUGCGUUGAUAUCAUCAGGAACACCGGUGGCGAAGGCGGCUUUCUGGGUCUUACCUGACGCUGAGGAACGAAAGCUAGGGGAGCGAACGG